rnacentral:lncRNA from 1 species
AGAAAGUGCGAGUCCUGGCGCUUUCCGGGUGGGUUCUCACGCUUCAAUAUCUGGCGGGGUUAGGGAACGCGAAAGGCAGUUUCGAAGAGAAGAGACAAGAUUUCGGCUCCAGGAGCACAAGUCUCGAGGGGAGACAGGUCUUGGCCUCCGGGAAUCCUCAGUCUGAAGCAGGAGACUGCCCUAUUCCGAGGAGUAACUAGGACACCCGCCUGAGCGGGGGAAGCAAGGGUCCUUCACGGAGCAGCUUCCGAAGGCGAGAGGACGCCUCGGGCAGGAGCUCCUGUGCGGAGGGACUCGGAGGCCGAGAGCCGGGCCGACCGCGGGGCAGGAAGUGGCUCCCACCCGGGACCCAGCACCUCGUCUCCUGACUUGGCGCCCUGACCCCCCCCCCUUUUUUUUUCUUUUGUUUGUUUUCCCAACAGAAGAAGAUGGCUCAAGACCGGCCUUUACUUGCUGUGCAGGAGGCCCUGAAGAAGUGCUUCCCGGUGGUGGAGGAGCAGCAGGGCCUGUGGGAGAGCACCCUGCGGGACUGCUCGCCGCUCCUGGCCUCCCUCAGCAACCUGGCAGAGCAGUUGCAGGCCGCGCAAAGCGUGCGGUUCCAAGAUGUGCCGGCGCUCCGGGCCUUCCCGGACUUACAGGAACGGCUGAGGCGCAAGCAGCUGGCGGCUGGGGACGUGGUCCUGGACAAGCUAGGGGAGAGGCUGUAAGGAUUUCCUCGGUGCCUUUUAGAAGGAUCUUUAAACUGGGCGCUUUCAAGUAGCUUGGGUGGAUCAGAAGAGUGUUUUUACUCGGGAGCAUGGCAUUUGAAGGUGUUUCGGCCCUUCCUUCUGUUGCGAAGGGACCACUGUCAAAAAGCCACUUUCUGGCAUUUCCCUUGUCAGAAGCCAGGCAUGUAGAAGAUACAAAAGCACAAAGGAAAAGGAGUGGAGAAGGCUUAUUAGCCCUUCUCUAUAGUUGUCUUUGGUAAAGGCAACAAGGAACUGGGCUUUAAGCUUAGCAGGUGCCAGAACUGAAGGUUUUACCUACAUUACCCAUAAAGUCCUUUAAUACCUCUGCGACUUAACCUCACUUCAUUCCAGUUUUUGCAAGUGAGGAAAUGGACUCAAGCAGGUUGCCCUUGGGCACACAUCUAGUAAAUAGUUGACUGGAUUCCAACCCCCAUCUUUUGAAACACCAAAGUCAGAGCUUUUUGUUUGUUUGUUUGUUUUUUAAGUCCAUCUUAAGAUAAAUAUAUAUUUAAAAUAUUUAUUUUUUAAUGGUAGUUGGACACAAUACCUUUAUCUUAUUUUAUUUGUAUAUGGUGCUGAGUAUCGAACCCAUGGCCUUGUACCUGCUAGGUGAGCUCUUGACUGCUGAGCCACAACCCCAGCGCCUAUGUUAUUUAUUUAUUUUUUGUGGUGCUUUGGAUUGAACCCAGUGCCUCACACAUGCUAGGCAAGCACUCUGCCCCUGAACUAUGGCCUCAGCCCUUUAAGUCCAUUUUUUAAUACCUUUAUUUAUUUAUUUAUUUUUUAUGUGGUGCUGAGGAUUGAAACCAGUGCCUCACACAUGCUAGGCAAGCACUCUACCACUGAGCGACAACCCAGCCCCAGAGCUCUUAACUAUUAUUUGUUUUGCUGUGCAUUGGUGUCUCUGUGCCCAGGAGUAGCAUGUCUAAAAGCUCUGGUUUUUGCCUUUUAACUGUUUUGUCUCUCAGUAACCAAAAGGUUAUUGAUUGAGAAGAGAUAGGAGACAGGGCAUAUGAGAGCCUGCCUUCCUAGAGGCACUUGUUUUCCUUUAGAUCAGUGGCUUUUAGAGUUUGACCAUGACCUAUAGGGUGAAAUACGUUUUGUAUCAUGGUCCACAUAAACACAUGCAUACAUAUAAACUGAAAUAUUCCACAAAACAAUGCUAUGAGUAUUACACUCUGAUAUUUUGUCUUCUGUUCUACAAGUCACAGACUACAAGUAAGCAGAUCUCACAGUAUGAAAAACAGCUUUUGAGAGAAUAAAUAUUGUUUUGAGAACUUUUUACUUCAAUUGAUUACAUAUUUGUGUGUGGGUGUUGGGUUGUUAUUCUGUUUUUUCAUUGUGAGUCAUGGUCAAACAUUUUUUUUCAUUUUUAAAUUUUUAUUAUAUAUGACAGCAGAAUGCAUUACAAUUCAUAGUACACAUAUAGAGCACAAUUUUUCAUAUUUCUGGUUGUUCAUAAAGGGUCAAAUAUUUUUGAAAGACACAGUACUAGGCUGGGAAAUGCCUUCUACUUUUGGAAGUUGUAGCCUUUGUCUUGAUGGCUGGAUCCUUUGGGGUCACCGAUGAAAUAAUAUUUACCAUAACCUAGACACUGCUCUAAGCACUUUAUAUGCAUUAUUGUGUUUAGUUUUUAAAAUAAUUUUAUUCACUCAUUGAUUUGUUGAAUAAGUGUUUGCUCUGUGUGCUAGUCUAGUUCUGUAUCGUGAGCAAAACAAGCUGUUUUUAUGCAUGGGGGAGAAUAAAUAACUUUCCACAGUAGUCUGUGCAUCCUGAGCCCACACUUGACUGUUCAAGAAUUUUCUAGAAAGGGUUAGGGAGCAUGUAGAUGGGAAUGGUUUGUUGCUUCAGUACCCUCUUUAUUCCCUUUUCUUGUACAUGGCUUGAGUCUGUGAGUAAGCAUUUGCUCUCCUUAGGUUAUUUAUUUUGUGGAGGGGGGCAGUGCUGGGGAUCAAACCUAGGGCCUUACACAUGCUAAGUAAGCAUUCUGCCUCUGAGCUUAACCCUCAGUCUAUCCUUAACCCCAGAAAUGUCCCUUAGUCUUUACUUUCUUUGGUAACCGGGCUUAUCCCACAGCUUUGAGAGCAAUAUAACUUCUUCAGCUCCCCAUUAUAAAGUUAUUUCUUAAUUCUCGAUCUACCUGUACCUCCAAAGCAAUAUCACCAAUCUCCUUAGCUCAUGUUCUCAUUUGGGGGUAGUUUUUCUGUGAGGGGAUAUUUGGCAAUGUCUAGAGACAUUAUUAUCAUGGUGGAGAUGGUGAGAGUGUGGUUUAUUUCUGUCCUCUGGUGGGUAGAGGCCAGGUGUACUGUUAAACUUCCUGCAUGUGUGAGGUGGCCCUCCACAAAACAGAAUCACCCAAUUCAAAAUGUCAAAGUGCCAGGAUUGAGAAGGCUUGCUGCGUACAUUUCUCAUAUUGCCUAAUGCAGAGACUCUUCCACAGAGCCACCCUCCUCAAGGUGCGUGACACGGUCAGCAGCCAUGUGGAGCAAGUGUUUCAGAUCUAUGAGCAACAUGCAGACGUGAUCGGCCUUGUUGCUGUUCUGCAGCCCUCGGCUGAGAGCCCUUCUGUGGCUGACAUGUUGGAAUGGUUGCAAGAUAUUGAGAGACAUUAUCGAAGUUCAUAUCCUUUGCAUACAUUCCAGAUAAGUGUUCAGAGAUAUUCCAAAGUCUCUUUAAUUUUCUAAUCACAAGUUUGGAUUCACUCUCUUUGGUUCUUGAACAUGGAUUCCUCUUUGAUUAUUCUUUAUUAUGAUUUCUCAAGUAAUUUGUAACUAGCUACUAUCUGCCAGUCACUUCUGUAGGUACUAGGAGACAGACAUUAAAAAAGGAAAAUAUAAGGAGCAUUUCAGAUGAUGAUGAGUGCUGUGGAGCAUAAAGCAGGGAAUGUGAAGUAUGAUGGUGGGUUGUGGUUUUAAAUAGAGUGGUCAGAGCAGGCAUCAUGAGAAAUGGACAUUUGAGCAAAGAUCAGAAGAGGGCAAGGGAGGAAGCUGUGUAGAUAUUUGGGGGAAGAGUAUUCCAGGCAGAGGGAACAUCAAAUGCAAAAGCCUGAGGUGAGAGUGUGCCUGGUAUGUUUAGGAAGUAGCCAGGAGGCCAGUGUGGCUAGAGCAGGGUAUGAGGGGAGUCUGCUGGGAGGUGAGGUGAUUGAGGAGGUGGCUGGACUUCUUAGGGCCGUGAAUGUCUUUGAAAGAAUUUUGGCUUUUACUUUGAGUGAAACAGAGAGCUAUUAGGUUUUCAAUAGAAAAGUAACAAGAAAAGAUAUAUGUUUUUAAUGUAACCAUGCUGACUGUUCCGAGGAAAGAGUUGGGGUGGUGGUGGGCAAGGGUGGAAGGAGAAGACUAGUUAGUUGAAGUUCUGGCUGUUUUGUCUCCAUUCUCACCUGAUACCUACAUCCACCCUCUGGCUUAAGUUUCUGCUUUCAUUGUUGUUGCUAGUCUUGAGCCUCAGUUUUCUGUAGAUGCCUCCAGCUGGAUUGCUUAAGAAAAUAAAAAGUCAAGCUCAAAGUUGAACUCUUCAAUCUAGCCCUCAAAUUCAACCCCCUUUCUUUUAUUUGUAGGCUCAAUGCUGUCCAUUCACCUGCUCUGGAAGUGUUAGGAUAGUCUUCUAUCUUUUCCUCUGUUUUCUCUUUCAGUUGCAGCAGUAGUAGUGAUGGUGCUAACAGUUUUAGUAAUGAUGCCAACAGCAGCAGGAGCAGACUUUACUGAGUACUUAGCAUGUGCUAAACUCUUUUCACAGGCACUUAUCAGGCACUUCAAUUCUGUUUCCCUGGUGCUUCUUUUACAGUCAGGUGGCACAUAACAAAUUUUGGUCAGCAGUGGUAUCACAUACCACAGAGGUCCCAUAGGAUUGUAUCACGUGGUGACGUCAGAACUGUCUUAGUUCGUGUAAGUGCACUCCAGGAUGUUUGCACAGGACGGCAUUACUUACAAUGCCUUUCUCAGAACAUAUCCCCAUCAGUAAGUGAUGUGUGACUCUUUUUCUCUCUAUUCCCUCUGCCACUUCCACAGUUUCUCUUUUGGAUUCUUAAUCACAUGUAGCCUUUGGCAGCCUUCUCUGUCUCUGACUUUUGCUCCUCUAAGCUGUCUCUCACUUCCUUGUAUCUUUAGGAAGUCUAGUUCUCAUCAGGUUGCUCAUACAAUAUGUGUCAGUAGCUUCUGCUGCUAGUAGGAUAAAGUUCAGAAUGCCUACCUUGUUCCUCGGUGUCUGUGUGUUCUGGCUCAACCCACCUUUCCUGCUAUGUGCCCUUCACCUGCCAGGCAUGCUGGAAAGUUCGCAGUUCCCUGAAGGCACUCCACACUUCUUCACUCCGUACCUUUGCUUAUGUGUUUCCUACCAGCUAAAAUGUUCCUGUGGUCCUCUAAAGUGGAUGUAUUUCCCCUUCAAACUUCUGCUGCGUUUGUCUUUUAUGUCACUUUGCUUGUUUUUAGUUUCUGGUUUUGUCCUUACAAAAGAUAGUCUAGGUUUCAGGGACAGUGUUUGAUUCUUGUUUUCUGGUGUCUCAAGCCAUAUUAUUAGAGUUGAUUAGAAAAUAUUGUGGCACAGUCUAAUCCCACUCCUCCCCCCCAGAGAAAUGUAACAAUGGCUCUACAUUGACUUUAUAGUUCCCAAAGCUUUCAUGAGGUACCUUUCCCCCACUUCAGCAUUAUUCCUUUUCUUUUUGAGCAGUCCUUAACUUCCAGGAAAGUAUCUGAAGAGAAAGUAUCUCUUUUCCUCCAUCCAGUGGGGAGACUUGGCAGGUAUCCAAGCAUUGCCCAAGGCCUGGGACCAAAUUUCAGCAGAUGAACACCAAGAUCUUGUACAAGGUACUAUUUUUUAAAUUCCUUCUUAUUUCCUCUCCUCCUUCCCUGUGCCUCUUUGGAGACAUUAGAGAGAUGCCCUUGUUGUGCUCUAUAUCUUUAUAAAUCUGGUGUUUAUGUUCUCUGGAGAGGUGAUAUGCCAGUUUUCCCUCUUCCUAUUCCAGAUAUCCUACUGAAUGUUUCCUUCUUCCUGGAAGAGUAAGGAAACUUCACGUUUAUGUGGAGACCAGAAGCACCACAGUUGAAGACUGACAUUGCUGCACUGUGAUAUUUCUAAAGAAACAUCAGCAUAACAACCUGACAUGUUUGAAAUAUCAAUGCCUAAAACCCAAGGACUGGGUCCUGAGAGGAUUGAUGGUAAAUGUCUCUGGGGCUUCUCCAUGCCAGACCGUGCCAAGGGUUCCUGGGCCAUUGCUUGCCCUUCCUGAGGUUCAGGGCAAUGGAGGAGAUAGAGAGAAAGCAGGAAAGGCAGUACUGAUAAACCUGUCUGUAUCAUAAGGACCAAGCAGCAGGGAGGGAAAGGACAGGAGAUAAAGGGCAGAAGUCACCUGUGGCAUUAUCUGAAGCACCAAGUCUGACUGAUAUCGGAUCCUGGCUUUGUGUCUGUACUUGACACCUUGAAGAACGAAAAAGAGGUUUUGAUGAUUUAAAGGAGUAAGGAUAUGGCUGGGGGGGGUAUGGUUCAGUAGUAGAGCUUGUGUUUGGCAUGUUUGAACCCCUGGCUUCAAUCCCCAGCACCAAAAAAAUAAAAAAUAAACUAAGAAGAAAAGAGAGAAGGAUGACAGGUUGCAGUAGUUUCUUAUCAAGUGAUUUCCAUUUCCAAAGCCUGCCACCAGGGGGAGGUGGUGCAGUAUGAAUUGUCUGGUUGCUUUUGUCUUGGAGAGCAGAUCUCCUGUUGCUGUUACCAUCUGAGAGAAAAUAACUGGGGAAAGUGAGACUUCCAAAAAGACAGGGUGUUUUUGGCCAAAGGUGGCAUCACACUUGCCACAUUUUUUUGAGUUGGAGUAGCUGCAUGGGUGGGAGAGAGCCAGGAUAGGCAGGUGACUGGAGUGUGGGACUAAGGGCCCUGGCCUUCAUGUGUGCAAUGAUUGUGUGCCUGUGGAAGUCUCAUGACUGACAUAAAGGGACUUAGUAAGGAGUAGAGAUAUUUUUCAAAAUGAAAAUGGCUGUUUAUUUUUUUAUUACCAUGCUUUUUAAAAAGAUUGUAAGAAAACUAGGAAAAAAUUUAAAAGGUAUAAAUAAAUUAACUCCACCAAAGGCAUUUUGGUAUAUGUUCCUUUAGGGGCAACUUACAAUUUUUUUUUUUUUAAGCAUGAUACCAUCAAUAUAUACUGUUGUCUUUUAAAACAUUAUAGCAUGGCAUUUUUUCAUAUAUGUAAAUAUACCUCAGCACAAUUAUACACCAUUGUAUGUAUCAUAUACCAUUUUGUGAAUGUUAUAAAUUUUACAUUUCAUCUUACAUUUUACAUAGUUUUCUAAAUCUUUUGUGUUUUUCUACCUAUAAAGGUAAUACAUUCUGAUUGUAGAAAAAUUGAAGUAUUGCAUAGAAAUAUACUUUGUCCACUUACCAAAUAACUAGUAUUAAUAAAAUGGUAUUUUAUUCCUCCAGUAAUUAAAAAAAUCUGUCAUAUACAUAAUUAUUAUAAAUAAAACUUAGAAAACA